rnacentral:ncRNA from 1 species
GGUUUGCCGCUAUGGUAACGCAAGAGGGAACGAGGUGAAAAUCCCCGACAGUCCCGCUGCUGUGAGCUGUCAUUGAUGUGCCCAAACAAAUGUGUCACUGGCAUUAUUUUUGAUGUAAACAAUCAUCUGCUGGGAAGACGUUUGAAGCACGAUGGCGAGUCAGAAUACCUGCCCGAUGAUAAU